UACGGAGACUGCAAGCGUUAUUCGGAUUCACUGGGCGUAAAGGGUGCGCAGGCGGCCAAGUGUGUCAGAUGUGAAAUCCCGAGGCUUAACCUCGGAACUGCGUCUGAAACUACCUGGCUAGAGUGCUGGAGAGGGUAACGGAAUUCACGGUGUAGCAGUGAAAUGCGUAGAUAUCGUGAGGAACACCAGAGGCGAAGGCGGUUACCUGGACAGCUACUGACGCUCAGGCACGAAAGCGUGGGGAGCAAAAGGG
rnacentral:rRNA from 1 species